ACGAACGCUGGCGGCGUGCCUAAUACAUGCAAGUCGAGCGAAGUUUUUCUGGUGCUUGCACUAGAAAAACUUAGCGGCGAACGGGUGAGUAACACGUAAAGAACCUGCCUCAUAGACUGGGACAACUAUUGGAAACGAUAGCUAAUACCGGAUAACAGUAUUUCUCGCAUGAGAGAUAUUUAAAAGUUGGUUAUGCUAACACUAUGAGAUGGCUUUGCGGUGCAUUAGCUAGUUGGUGGGGUAAAGGCCCACCAAGGCGACGAUGCAUAGCCGACCUGAGAGGGUGAUCGGCCACACUGGGACUGAGGCACGGCCCAGACUCCUACGGGAGGCAGCAGUAGGGAAUCUUCCGCAAUGGGCGAAAGCCUGACGGAGCAACGCCGCGUGAGUGAAGAAGGAUUUCGGUUCGUAAAGCUCUGUUGUUAGGGAAGAAUGGAUAUGUAGUAACUAUACAUGUAAGAGACGGUACCUAACCAGAAAGCCACGGCUAACUACGUG
rnacentral:rRNA from 1 species